UGAAUACGAGACGCUAAGGCGUCGAAGUAGUGUAUGUCAUACUUCCAAGAAAAGCUUGCACUGUCAUAGAUAAAAAACGCCUGUACCAUAACCGACACAGGUGGGUAGGUAGAGUAUACUAAGGGGCGCGAGAUAACUCUCUCUAAGGAACUCGGCAAAAUAACUCCGUAACUUCGGGAGAAGGAGUGCCUUAUUCUUAAGGUUGCAAUAACAAGAUCCAAGCAACUGUUUAUCAAAAACACAGGUCUCCGCUAAGUCGUAAGACGAUGUAUGGGGGCUGACGCCUGCCCAGUGCCAGAAGGUUAAAGAAGCUGGUUAGCAUUUGCGAAGCUAGUAACUGAAGCCCUGGUGAACGGCGGCCGUAACAAUAUCGGUCCUAAGGUAGCGAAAUUCCUUGUCGGGUAAGUUCCGACCCGCACGAAAGGCGUAAUGAUUUGGAUACUGUCUCGGAGAGGGGCUCGGUGAAAUAGACUUGUCUGUGAAGAUGCGGACUACCUGCACCAGGACAGAAAGACCCUAUGAAGCUUUACUGUAGCUUGAAAUUGAAAUUGGACUUUAUUCGCGCAGUAUAGGUGGGAGGCGUUGAUUAUAAUCUUGCGGGAUUAUUGGAGCCAUUAGUGAGAUGCCACUCUUGUAAUGUUAGAUUUCUAACUUUGAAUCAUUAUCUGGUCAAAGAACAGUUUCAGGCGGGCAGUUUGACUGGGGCGGUCGCCUCCUAAACGGUAACGGAGGCGUACAAAGGUUUCCUCUGAACGGUUAGAAAUCGUAUCUAGAGUGUAAAGGCAUAAGGAAGCUUGACUGUGAGACCUACAAGUCGAGCAGGGACGAAAGUCGGUCUUAGUGAUCUGACGGUACUGAGUGGAAAGGCCGUCACUCAACGGAUAAAAGUUACUCUAGGAUAACAGGCUGAUCUCCCCCAAGAGUUCACAUCGACGGGGAGGUUUGGCACCUCGAUGUCGGCUCAUCGCAUCCUGGGGCGGUAGUACGUCCCAAGGGUUGGGCUGUUCGCCCAUGAAAGCGGUACGCGAGCUGGGUUCAGAACGUCGUGAGACAGUUCGGUCCAUAUCCGGUGUAGGCGUUAGAAUAUUGAGAGGAGCCUUCUUUAGUACGAGAGGACCGAGAAGGACAUACCUCUGGUGUACCAGUUAUCGUGCCAACGGUAAACGCUGGGUAGCUAUGUAUGGAGUGGAUAACCGCUGAAAGCAUCUAAGUGGGAAGCCCACCUCAAGAUAAGUAUUCUC
rnacentral:rRNA from 1 species